AAGUAAAAUCGCCGAAAUGAGAGUG
rnacentral:piRNA from 1 species